UACGGAGGGGGCGAGCGUUGUCCGGAAUUACUGGGCGUAAAGAGCUCGUAGGUGGUUUGUCGCGUUGUCCGUGAAAACUCACAACUCAAUUGUGGGCGUGCGGGCGAUACGGGCAGACUGGAGUACUGCAGGGGAGACUGGAAUUCCUGGUGUAGCGGUGGAAUGCGCAGAUAUCAGGAGGAACACCGGUGGCGAAGGCGGGUCUCUGGGCAGUAACUGACGCUGAGGAGCGAAAGCGUGGGGAGCGAACAGG
rnacentral:rRNA from 1 species